ensembl:misc_RNA predicted gene, 27283
UAAGCCCUGCUCAGAAGUCAAGAGCAGCAGCGCCGCCGCUCCUCGCAGCCUUUCACGCUGCAGCCGCUUCUUAUUCUUGUGCCUCGGCCUUUCUGGGCGCCCCCGGACAAAGCCCCCAGAACCCGGUCGCUCCCUUCCCGCUAAAUCCCCUUCGGGGUCAGUGCGCUACCAGCACAGGGCCGCACGCCUCUCCUGCUAGCCGUGUGGCUCUUAAAGAGCCCCACACCCCUCCGCCCUGCGUGCUCCUCCGACCCCCGCCACCCCUCCCCUCUCCUCCGGAUCUAGCCCCCCACGCCGCCGCCUGAAGUCCCUGCUGCCCCGAC